rnacentral:tRNA from 1 species
GCGAGAGUAGUUCAGUGGUAGAACACAAGCCUUCCAAGCUUGAUACGAGGGUUCGAUUCCCUUCUCUCGCUCCA